CACGUAGGGUGCGAGCGUUGUCCGGAAUUAUUGGGCGUAAAGAGCUCGUAGGCGGUGUGUCGCGUCGGCCGUGAAAACCUGCAGCUUAACUGUGGGCUUGCGGUCGAUACGGGGCAUCACUGGAGUUCGGGCAGGGGGAGACUGGGAAUUCCUGGUGUAGCGGGUGAAAUGCGCAGAUAUCAGGGAGGGGAAACACCCGGGUGGGCGAAAGGGCGGGGUCUCUGG
rnacentral:rRNA from 1 species